CUACCACAGAUGGUCGUUCUUACACCUUUUACCUCUCAAAAUAGUGGGCGACCAUCUCUCCAUCGUUUUUGUUUUGGAUACUAAAAUAGCCGAGUCGUAUUUGUCGGUGUUUUAUCACCGUUUGACGUUCACCUACACCUAAUACCUACACCGCGCCCGUCGAAAUUACCGUGUCGCCGGCAUCAUCGGCAACGUUGAUUGUUCCAAUUCUCCAGCAGGUAGCAGCUGUCCAUUCCAUUGCAUGGUACCGGUAAUAAUAUUACAUUGUUCAAAUUCAAAUCCUUAUAACCAUAGAUAAUUAAGAAUUGAUAGGCCAUUCCUAUAGUUUCAAUGUAAGUUGCCGUGUUCCUAUCGAGUAUUUAUCCCUAUCUUUGAUAUAAAGCUCCCUUUUACCACAAUAGUUAUGGCAGUUAAUUGCUUGCUUAAUAAUUUUUAUCUUCAUCACUAAUAUGAUAAUAUUAUUAAUGGUAUAAAGACUAGAAUAAGGAGAUCAAACUCUUACGGCAAAUUGCAUAAAAACACGUGGCGAAAUUAGUUGCUUGCACGGUUAAGCAGGUUGCGCUACGUAUGCUAGGGUUGCUGUACUUCAACUAACGUAGUAUAGGGAUUAUUGAACAUGGUGUUUGCAUUUUUUGGAAAAUGUAUGUAUUAUUUCUAAUCGUAACUCGUUAUAAAUUUUAUAGCUCAUAAGACCACGCAUUCAUAUACGUUCAUAUGUGUAUAUUUUAUAAAUAUGCAUGGUAUUGUUUCACGGCAAUAACAGACAAACAUUUCUAUGAAAAAUUACCCAUCUACAUGAAAUACUAUUAAUUAACUGUAAUCAAACAUAAAUAUGAUAAUAUAUUGUACGGUUUUCAUGCAUAUAAUCCGGUAGAUUUCAGCAUAUCAUUGAAAUUAAUGAAUGAUUUAUCAAUGGUGUACUUCCCUAAAAUUUAUGAAUUAUGAUAAUAAAUUUAUGUCUUGUGUACCAUAAAAAUAAAAUUGAAUUGAUGUACCUUUAAAUGGUUUGUAUUCAGAUAGCAAAGAUAAUUCAAUUAUUUUAUUUGUAAAACUAUAAAAUACGGUUGUUGCUCACAUGCAACAGUAUGCAUUUAGCAUUACACUCUAGUACGCUUGCUUAUAUUGAAUUCCGAAGUAUCUAUUGCUGUGUUACGGGCGUCAUUUCCUGUAAGUAUAUUAUCAUAUUGUAAAGCAUAAAGAAUAGGCUUACAGAGCAAUAAUAGGUAAUUUAUGCUUUAGGUCAAGAUUGGUUAGACUCAAUUAAUGUACAAAAAAACCACGCCGUAAUGCGAAUGGCUAUGGUGAGAAUUAUAUAGGUAUUUGUAUAUUAAUGUAUUAAUAUCAAAGCUUAUAUUACGGUUAUUUUCUAAAGCAUGUUAAGCAAAAUUUGAAUAACAUAUGGCCCAACUAUAAUUUACACUUAACUUAGAUAUCUGAUAUUGUGAUAAAUAUAGCAAUAGUCAUGAUUUAUGUAGACUAGAUUAUUCUACAAAGUUUGUAGUGUAAAAACAUGAAAUAUAUGCAUAUUAUGCACAUGUAUGAAUGUAUAAUUUUACUAGCUAUAUAAUUUUUGAUGAGUCAUGGUUUAAAAUAAUGCAUAUAUUUUCCAAAAAAAACUCAAAAAACAUGAUUAAUUGCUAUACUUAAAGGGCUAGAGUAGCAACCUUACUAUACGCAGUGCAACUUGUGGCUGUUUAUUUGUGCUACUCAUUUCUGACUGCUAUUUUAUGGCAGGUGGUCGUACGAGUUUAGUCUUCUUAUUUUAGUCUUAAUAGUAUAUAUUUAACAAGUUAAAAACCAAUAACGUCUCGUAUACAGUGUGUAAAUUCCAAUAUCUCAAGAAAACUUAUCCAAGUAUAUUAUUUUUAAUGUUGUGUACCCAUUGUCAGGUUGUGAUGUGUGGUACCCAAAAAUGAAAUUGGCCAAUGGUAUAUAGAUAUUUUGACCUAGGACAACUUGACUUCUGAGAAAUCACUAAAAAGAAACAAGUAUUGCAUAUUAAUUGAUGCUAUAUAAAUAACAUCUGAAGAAUAUUCUUGACUAAUGUAUAUAUUUAUUUUUUAGAUUAUUUUCACUAAAAGACCUAUAUGAAUAUUAUAGCCCUGCCAUAUGAUAAAUACGAAUAUUGGAUGACGAUUUAUUGUUGCCUGAUAUGGAAAUAUUUUAAAAAAUCGAACCAUUAAAAUCAUUACCUAGUAUGUAUAUGAUCAAAACAAUGACUAUUAAUUGUGUUUGCUCUUAUGAUAAGUUUUCCCCUUUUACAGGUACAGGUGGUUCUUUUAAAUCGUUAAUGGUUGAAUUUAUUUCCAUAAACCUAUGCCACUAUAGUCAUGCAAGAACAAACUUAAACGAAUACUUUGGCCUAUAAUCAAGCAUUACUAGUAAAUACUUAUAAUUAACUUCAUACCUUCACUUCAAAUGCACAAGACCAUGACACAGCAGAAGCCAUGAAACAUAUAUCAAAG